UACAGAGGUCCCAAGCGUUGUUCGGAAUCAUUGGGCGUAAAGCGCGUGUAGGCGGUCCGGUAAGUCCGCUGUGAAAGUCGGGGGCUCAACCCUCGGAUGCCGGUGGAUACUGUCGGGCUUGAGUACGGAAGAGGCGAGUGGAAUUCCUGGUGUAGCGGUGAAAUGCGCAGAUAUCAGGAGGAACACCAAUUGCGAAGGCAGCUCGCUGGGACGUUACUGACGCUGAGACGCGAAAGCGUGGGGAGCAAACAGG
rnacentral:rRNA from 1 species